GACGAACGCUGGCGGCGUGCUUAACACAUGCAAGUCGAACGGAAAGGCCCUGCUUUUGUGGGGUGCUCGAGUGGCGAACGGGUGAGUAACACGUGAGUAACCUGCCCUUGACUUUGGGAUAACUUCAGGAAACUGGGGCUAAUACCGGAUAGGAUCUCCUGCUGCAUGGUGGGGGUUGGAAAGUUUCGGCGGUUGGGGAUGGACUCGCGGCUUAUCAGCUUGUUGGGGGGGUAGUGGCUUACCAAGGCUUUGACGGGUAGCCGGCCUGAGAGGGUGACCGGCCACAUUGGGACUGAGAUACGGCCCAGACUCCUACGGGAGGCAGCAGUGGGGAAUAUUGCACAAUGGGCGGAAGCCUGAUGCAGCAACGCCGCGUGCGGGAUGACGGCCUUCGGGUUGUAAACCGCUUUCGCCUGUGACGAAGCGUGAGUGACGGUAAUGGGUAAAGAAGCACCGGCUAACUACGUG
rnacentral:rRNA from 1 species